rnacentral:lncRNA from 1 species
AUGACUGAAAGCUCACCCAGGAGGGGCCUGGCCCUCGCCCCCAGCUUGUUCCCCUGCCACAGCCCUGCGGACCCAGUUGUCCUCCAGCACCGUCUCCUCCGGGCCGGUGUCGUGCGGUGCCAGCCGCUGGGCCGGGUGGGGAGUGGGGCUGGGAAAUUGGCAUGCUCGGGGCGGUGCUGGCGGACGCGGCCCCGUGCGCUCUACACCGUGGCGUCAAGGGGCCCCAGGCAGCGGCCUCACCAGAAGAGACAGCCGCGUCCCUGCCGGGGGAGUGUGCCCGACAGCAUUGGGCAACCGCGGCGGCAAUGCCCGGAACCAGCGCGUUCGCGGUCAGAGCUAACGAUCCAUCCUGGAGGCAGAGGCAGGAGAACCCCUCUGCCGUGUGGCAGAUUUUUAUCACGUGCAGAAGGAGGGGAGACCUGGAGAGCUGACUGUGGAAAGAAACCAUGACCUCAGAGAUCUCAGGAUACAGGUGGUAAAGACUGCAGAAAUCCAGAGGCUCCGGGAAAAACGUGAAAGGUUGGCGUCAGAAAGUAUAGUCCACCCCGGGGACGAAUGAGGACAGCAGGGGCCAGCGCCAGGCUGACACCUUCUCCGGGGCAAGGGUGACUCAUUCCUAUUUGCAGUGGGAAAGCAAGGAGGGUAAGAAGCCAUUGUGUACUGCUCCUAGCAUCCAAAAAUUGUUUUUAAAACAUUGUGGUUUUUUUUUUUUCUUACUUGUUUGCAGUCUAGCUAUGCAUUCCAGGCUAGCCUUGAACUUGCAGUGAUCCUCCUGCUUCAGCCUCCCGAGUGUGCAAUCACAGGUGUGUGUCGCCAUGCCCGGCCAAAAAUUUCACUUAUUACCCAAAAGAAAGCCUGACUCUCUCUGCAUCUGAGCCCUCUAUCCUGGUGGGCGCUCCAGGUUCUGUUGGGGGAAUCCUCCCUCUACUCUGCUCAUUUACUGGCACUAGCAAGGGUUUAGUCUUCACAGGGGAGUGGGGACCC